rnacentral:rRNA from 1 species
GGGAUUCCUUAGUACGGCGAGUGAACCGGGAAGAGCUCAAAUUUGAAAUCUGGCUGUCUUCGAUAGUCCGAGUUGUAAUCUAUAGAAGCGUUUUCCGUGCUGAACUGUGUCUAAGUCCUCUGGAACGAGGUAUCAAAGAGGGUGACAAUCCCGUACUUGACACAAUCAUCAGUGCUCUGUGAUACGUUCUCUACGAGUCGAGUUGUUUGGGAAUGCAGCUCAAAAUGGGUGGUAAAUUCCAUCUAAAGCUAAAUAUUGGCGAGAGACCGAUAGCGAACAAGUACCGUGAGGGAAAGAUGAAAAGCACUUUGGAAAGAGAGUUAAACAGUACGUGAAAUUGUUAAAAGGGAAACGAUUGAAGUCAGUCGUGUUUAUUGGAUUCAGCCGGUCUUCGGUGUACUUCCUUUAAACGGGUCAACAUCAGUUUUGUUCGGUGGAUAAAGGCAGUAGGAAUGUGGCUCCCUCGGGAGUGUUAUAGCCUAUUGUCACAUACACUGGAGGAGACUGAGGACUGCAGCUCGCCUUUUUGGCCGGGGUUCGCCCACGUUCGAGCUUAGGAUGUUGACAUAAUGGCUUUAAACGACCCGUCUUGAAACACGGGCCAAA